AUGACCAGUGCCGCUAGAGCCCCACCUCUCAGUGACCAAGGCUCUAUUCCUCCUCCACCCAGAAUAUCACCUACCCUCACUCUGCCUGCAACAAAUCCUCAGCCCAUUCUCGCCACCGCCGUCCAAAACUCUGCUCUCGCUCCAAUGGCGACUUUCCCCUUCGACCCUACGCCAUUUGUGCCGCGAGGUUUCUCUGUGAUUGAAGUGGCUGAUCGUCCGGCUCGCGCUCGUGUGGUCUAUGGCGAUUUCUCGGUAGCUAAUGAAGACCUGGCGAUCGUCACUAUUCUCCCGAUGCCCCUCGAUGAGGUACCUUUUGUCAAUGUCAGAGAUGUUUUAGGGGAUUUUCUCUCCCAAAUCAAGCGUGUGGGUUUCAAGUCUAUCACCCCUUGUCCUUUUGGCCAAGCCUUUGUUCGCUUCAAUAGUGUGGCAGAGAGAGAUCUGCUUGUUGACAGUGGUCCUCAUAGGCAUGAUGAUAUUCACUACGUGCUCCAGAAGCAUAACCAAGGACUUAAUUGGAAAAAAAUUCACCUAGACAGGGAGGUAUGUCUUCUGCUUGUGGGUUUUCCUGCGGAUCUUCGUUGUAUUCAAGAGUUAGCUAAUUUUGUGAGAAGCUUUGGGAAGAUGUCUGUCUGGGAUAGGGUUAAAUCUUCUGAUGCAGCAGUUUUAAUUAAAUUUUAUGUUGAUGCCCUCAAAGAGAUACCUGCCAGCAUUGUGGUCUCUUCUGACAAGAAGGAAGGGGAAUCCUGGACCUGUCAUGUGGUCAUUAUUCAUGACAGUCCUGUUGGAGAGGGCCCUCCAGAAGAAGAUCAUAUUCCUGUUGAUGGGAAUCCACAUCCCAGGCCUGAUGAAGAACACCAUCACCCAAAUCAAAAUAUGGUUAUUGGUCCUUUUUUGGAUGUUCAUAACCACAAUCAAGUUGCAGGCAAUCAGCAGAAUAAUAACAUCCAAGAGGAGGAGCAGGAUGCUAUGUAUGUGGAAUAUGCUGGUUGGGGCCAUUGGGCCAUGCCAAAUGAGGAACAACUUAUAGACCAAGAGCUUCAUGCAGGGGAAUUCCUUGAGCUUAAUGAUUUACUUGCACCAGUCAAUGAAGAAAGUCAGCUGCUGCAACAGGAUCCUGAGGAGAGUGACAUAACUUUAUCUCUGAACAAUGCUGCUAGUUCUGCAGAAUUUUUCACUAAUGGUCCUGCCAAUGUUAUAGCAGAUCUGCUGGCCCCUUUACAGUUGAAUCUCCCAGAUUUGAACCUGGUUGUGCAGGUUCAGGAUAUUCCUUUUGAUCCUAUUGCUGAAGAAGUAAGAGAUCAUGUGCCAGUUUUAGUUCAACAUAUACAAGAUUUUUUUGAUGAACAACAUGUGAAUGUUGAUGUUGCAAUUGCUCCACAAGUCCAUGUUGCAAUUGAAAAUGUAGAUGUUGCAGUGGCUCCUUCAGAUGUUGCAAUUCCAAACACCUUUUCUUCUCUAGCUCAGGAGGUUGAGGUCUCAGAGCUUCAACUUGUUGCUUUGUUGAGGCCUGACACUAGCCAACUUGAUCUCCAUGCUAUUGAUAAUGUCAACAAUCCUGCCUUGCCAGCUGCUGAUUCUACAGAAGCUCAUGACUCCCAGACUGGUCUUCACUUACUUGAACAUGCUCAGCCUGCAACAUUGGUACCUUUUGAUGCUCAGCAGGAGCAGAUUCUGGAGCAGCAUUCUACUUCUGUGUUGAACAAAGUUGUGGCUUUGCAAGAAUUAUCUAACCUGGUCAAGAUCCCAAUUUACUACCAAAAGGAUCAAGGUACUACUCCUUCUGCUCCUCCUGGUUUCCCUCUCCCUAUCUAUCAAGGAAUACAGAAUAAUAUCACAGUUGGAGCAAUGCAAUUUCUGUUUGAUGUAGCUGAUCCAGUUUUUCAAAAGAUGCUGCCUGAUUUGACUGAUUCACAAAUCUUAGGUAAGGAAGGAGCAUCUAUCUGGAAUACUCACUUUGCACCUUCCUUAGACACAGACAAAGUGGUUCAGGUACCCAUUGAAUGGACAAACUUUCUUUCCCUUGCUUUGCUCUCCCCUGAGAAAUUUGAGUAG
rnacentral:rRNA from 1 species